GACGAACCGUGCGAACGUUGUUCGGAAUCACUGGGCGUAAAGGGUGCGUAGGCGGGUCUUUAAGUCAGGGGUGAAAUCCUGGAGCUCAACUCCAGAACUGCCUUUGAUACUAAAGAUCUUGAGUUCGGGAGAGGUGAGUGGAACUGCGAGUGUAGAGGUGAAAUUCGUAGAUAUUCGCAAGAACACCAGUGGCGAAGGCGGCUCACUGGCCCGAUACUGACGCUGAGGCACGAAAGCGUGGGGAGCAAACAGG
rnacentral:rRNA from 1 species